ACCAGACUCUUAAAUAUAUGGAACAAAUUAGUGGUUGCUAGAGAGGUGAAGGGUGGGGGAAUGG